rnacentral:rRNA from 1 species
CUUCCAGCUCCAAUAGCGUAUAUUAAAGUUGUUGCAGUUAAAAAGCUCGUAGUCAAAGCUUGGGUGUUGACCGCUGGACUUGCGCAAGCGAGUUCUGGCGUGUGGGUCUGGUGCCAUGCGACCGGAAACGGAGUGUGGUGCUGGCCUGUUGAUGCCUUUUCCCUGGGGAGAAGCGGUGCCUUGCAAGAGGUGUCGCUAGGAACCAGGAUGAUUACCUUGAGAAAAAUAGAGUGUUCAAAGCAGGCUAGUUAUGCUUGAAUACGUUAGCAUGGAAUAAUGAUUCAAGACUUUGUCUUGUUUUGUUGGUUUUCUUGACCAUGGUCAUGAUGAAUAGGGACAGUUGGGGGCAUUAGUACUCUGGAGCUAGAGGUGAAAUUCUUAGAUUUCCAGAAGACUAACUAGUGCGAAAGCAUUUGCCAAGGAUGUUUUCAUUGAUCAAGAACGAAAGUUAGGGGAUCGAAGACGAUCAGAUACCGUCGUAGUCUUAACCAUAAACGAUGCCGACUAGGGAUCGGCGGAUGACGUUUAGCGUUGCCGCCGGGACCUUGCGAGAAAUCAAAGUUUUUGGGUUCUGGGGGGAGUAUGGUCGCAAGGCUGAAACUUAAAGGAAUUGACGGAAGGGCACCACCAGGAGUGGAGCCUGCGGCUUAAUUCGACUCAAC